AGCACGCCGCGUGAGCGAUGAAGGCCUUCGGGUCGUAAAGCUCUGUUGUUAGGGAAGAACAAGUGCGAGAGUAACUGCUCGCACCUUGACGGUACCUAACCAGAAAGCCACGGCUAACUACGUGCCAGCAGCCGCGGUAAUACGUAGGUGGCAAGCGUUGUCCGGAAUUAUUGGGCGUAAAGCGCGCGCAGGUGGUCCUUUAAGUCUGAUGUGAAAGCCCACGGCUCAACCGUGGAGGGUCAUUGGAAACUGGGGGACUUGAGUGCAGAAGAGGAAAGUGGAAUUCCAAGUGUAGCGGUGAAAUGCGUAGAGAUUUGGAGGAACACCAGUGGCGAAGGCGACUUUCUGGUCUGUAACUGACACUGAGGCGCGAAAGCGUGGGGAGCAAACAGGAUUAGAUACCCUGGUAGUCCACGCCGUAAACGAUGAGUGCUAAGUGUUAGAGGGUUUCCGCCCUUUAGUGCUGCAGCUAACGCAUUAAGCACUCCGCCUGGGGAGUACGGUCGCAAGACUGAAACUCAAG
rnacentral:rRNA from 1 species